UGGGAACUUCACCUCCCUCUCAGUAUCUGGCGGCUUCUCCCGCUUGGUUGCUUCCAUUAUUCCCCAACUGCGGAAACACCAGCCACCAUAUGUCCGCCAGAGAAUGAGCGUGAGUGUCGCGGUGGACAGUUGCCGCCAAAGGUGUCCAGACGGAUGGCAUUCUCAAAGUAGGGAUCUUAGCAUCCUCUCCACACACCAUCACCCAAGAAUGGUAGAGGAAGGAGUAGGAGUGGGGGUACAGAUAGGAGAGAAAGGAGGUUGAGGUCACAAAAUUGGCAUUUCUCUAAUUACCAACCCCCUCCUCCACCAACCUGCCACAAUUUGUUAUGGUAAAGUUCUGUUUCUGUGCCCCUUCCCUAACAAAGAAAUCCUCAGUCA
rnacentral:sRNA from 1 species